rnacentral:rRNA from 1 species
UACGUAGGGUGCAAGCGUUAUUCGGAAUCAUUGGGCGUAAAGCGCGUGUAGGCGGUUAGUUAAGUCGAUUGUGAAAUCCCUGGGCUCAACCGAGGAAGUGCAGUCGAAACUAACUAGCUAGAGGACGGCAGAGGAAGGUGGAAUUCCAAGUGUAGAGGUGAAAUUCGUAGAUAUUUGGAGGAAUACCUGUGGCGAAGGCGGCCUUCUGGACCGGUCCUGACGCUGAGACGCGAAAGCGUGGGGAGCAAACAGG